rnacentral:tRNA from 1 species
GCCCGAGUGGCGGAAUUGGUAGACGCAGAGGACUCAAAAUCCUCCGACCCUGGGUCGUGCGAGUUCGAGUCUCGCCUCGGGCACCA